UGGCCUACGGGUGGCUGCAGUGAGGAAUAUUGCGCAAUGGGGGCAACCCUGACGCAGCGACGCCGCGUGGAUGAUGAAGGCCUUCGGGUUGUAAAAUCCUGUCAGAUGGGAAGAACGGUAGGAGGGUUAACAGCCCUGUUAUUUGACGGUACCAUCAAAGGAAGCACCGGCUAACUCCGUGCCAGCAGCCGCGGUAAUACGGAGGGUGCAAGCGUUGUUCGGAAUUACUGGGCGUAAAGCGCGCGUAGGCGGGUCGUUAAGUCAUUUGUGAAAGUCCACGGCUCAACUGUGGAAGUGCAUGUGAAACUGGAGAGCUUGAGUACUGGAGGGGGUGGUGGAAUUCCCGGUGUAGAGGUGAAAUUCGUAGAUAUCGGGAGGAAUACCGGUGGCGAAGGCGACCACCUGGCCAGAUACUGACGCUGAGGUGCGAAAGCGUGGGGAGCAAACAGGAUUAGAUACCCCGGUAGUC
rnacentral:rRNA from 1 species